GCCUACAGCCAGACCGGACUGACUGCAUCUGAUCUUGGAAACUAAGCUGGCUUGGGCUUGGUUCAUGCCUGGAUGGGAGACCGCCUGGGAGUCCCGGGUGCUGUCGGCC
rnacentral:rRNA from 1 species